rnacentral:rRNA from 1 species
UACGUAGGGUGCGAGCGUUGUCCGGAAUUAUUGGGCGUAAAGAGCUCGUAGGCGGUUUGUCGCGUCGGAUGUGAAAGCCCGGGCUUAACUCCGGGUCUGCAUUCGAUACGGGCAGGCUAGAGUUCGGUAGGGGAGAUCGGAAUUCCUGGUGUAGCGGUGAAAUGCGCAGAUAUCAGGAGGAACACCGGUGGCGAAGGCGGACUCUGGGCCGAUACUGACGCUGAGGAGCGAAAGCGUGGGGAGCGAACAGG